CAUAACACCUCCCCCAGGACUGCUUUCUCUUCCUUGCUAAGCAAACCCCACCUCUUCCUCUUCAGCCUUUCUCAGGCACGCAACCUCCGCCGUCUCCGGAUCGUUCUCCGGCAUCCCUCCGCCGCCACUUCUCCUCCCCGUUCCUAGCCAAGCUCCGGCCCUCCGCCAUCCCCUCCUCCUUGACCGCCUCUCUACUCCUCUGAAGAUGGAACACGGGCCAGCUGCUACGCCUGAGCUGGCACAAGGUCAUCGGGCAGAGGAGGUCCAGCGCCGACGAGCCACUCACGCCCGUGUCUGAGGUCUCGGAGGCGCUGGAGUUGCCGGCCUUACUGAGAUGGGUCGGCGGGGAUGAUGGUGUUGGGGUCAGGAGGGAAAGGCCACCGACGAGGAUGGCGGCAUGGCAGGGGCUUGUUCGGUUAAUCCUCUCCCCAAGAGGAUUGGAGGGGAUUGGCAAGGAUUGGCUUGUAUUUUGACUUACAAGAGGUUUAAAUCCCCUUCAAACCCCUUCAAUCCACUCGGAUUCGCACCCAACCGAACAAGGCCUUAGGUGAAUUGGAAGAUGUUUUGACAUGUUAAAAUGGUGCAUCCUGUGCUAGUUGACUGGUCAAUCUUUUCAUUUGUUGGGAGCUGAAAGUUGUAUUUCCAAAUUAACAGAGGGUGAACCGUGGUUCUCAGGUAUGAUGCAAAGCAUUCCAUGUUGUGUUUACUAAUAUCAGGUGCUCAUUCACGUAUGAUUUUAUUGAUUAUUGAAGAAUAAACAGGUUAUAUAGUGUUUGCUUGGACUGUAAAUUUUCUCUCUUAUCAUUUGUGAAUUUUAGCAAUUGUUUCUUAUUGAUCCGUCUUUUCUUCCCGGUAGGUGAUAUCAGAAUUAUCGAGUCCUGCCAAUCACAUGAGAUCACUGAUCUUAUUUUGGUGCAUGGUUAGCCUGAUGGUUUGAUUGUCUGUCAUCUAUCAUUAGGGACAACUGCAUACUUUGGUUUACUCAAUGUGGUAAAUGCCCAUGUCUGUUUUAUUCACGAUGAGCAGAUGCAGUAUACAACAUGAGACAACAUUCUUGGCGGCAGCUCGUGGUCCCAUUUUUUCGCAGGUAACACGACAUGAUGGUGUUCUACGGCCCAUUUGGCAUACUUUUUGUCUUCGCUUUCUUGGACGGUUAUUCAUUAGUCCAAUGCUUGACAUCAAUGUGGAUUCAUUUAGGUGUAGAUGUUGUAGGUUGCAGAUACUAAAUUUAGUCUAGGUGUAGAUGUUGCAGGUUGCAGAUACUAAAUUUAGGAUUCAUUUAGUAUCCAAUGCUUUCAUUUUCACACCGGUACUGAAUUAUUCUAUACUAAAUUUAGGAUUUAUUUUUCAGUUACACCAUGUAUUUGUUUUUUCACUUCCUGCCGGUGCUGAACUCUUUUGCUUGGCCAUGAGAAGGGCAGUGGGUGAAAAUGUUGGCUUAGAAAUUUAGAACAUCAUUGAAGUGGUCAGGGGUCUGGUCGUGUUAAGUAAACACUGUACAGAGUCAGUCUGGCACUCCUGUACAUCAAGAAUUAGCUGAACCUUUCAGCAGUAGCACAUUUAUGUAUAUGAAUUUGUGUUCGCAUAUGUUGACCCUCUUUUAAUAUUGUAGGACCUGCCAAAUUUAGUUGCAAGUAAAGAUGCAGAUUUUUCAUAUGUUGAUGCUGUUUUUUGUUGCUUGGCACAUGUAACAACACAGGUUGGUAGCUUCAUCAUGCUUUUUCUGAGAUUUUUUUCUAUCAAUUGCUAAACUUAUGAAGGAAUCCAGUUAUAUGCUCAGCUCUCAAUUGGAAGAUAAGAUUUUGUAUCGAACACACUUAGAGCAAUGUCUGAUGGCAAGUUUGUUAUCAAGAAAUUAUUAAAGGCUUACCCCAACAAUUGGAGAUUGUUGGUCCCUCUGCGGUAUGCUCUAUACAAACACAUGCUUUACCUAUGUUGGUAUCACCUCGGUUGCUAUUGAACAACCAAUCUUUCAGACUUACCAUGCUCGUAGGAUUUUCGAUUGCGUGACAUCAAUGAGUAUGCUGAGUGGUAUGGCACUAUGGCCAUGCUCAUAGGGCACUGAAACUUCAGGUGUUCUUGAGUACUAUACCCUACAGACUUGUUAAUAUACCAGCCAUUGGUUACACAAAUUUUGAAGUUACUCAGUUCUAAAGUUCCAGUUUACUGAGAUGUUUCAUCAAUUUCUUUGUACAUUACCUUUGGAGCUUGGAUUAGAUUCCUGUGUAGCCUAUGAUGUCUUCUAGUCCUCUUGUGUCAUUAUGUUUGUUUGUUGUGAACUCAUAAGAGGUUGUAUAUGGUUUGACGGAGGUUCUUCGAGAUGAAAUAAGAGAUGUGCGGCUUGUUGCCAACCCCCGCAUCUAUUCAGCUCCCUCUUGUUGCUCUAAUUAAGGUGAAAAUUAAUAAAAGUUCUUAGUCUUCCCAGAUCAAAGCAACAAGCAUUUAGACUCAAUAGCCCUCACUUGUGAACCAUCUGUUUUUGUUUUUGUAAUAUCUUUUUUAUUCUAUCCAAAAAGAGGUUGUUAUUCAUGUUAUUAUUAUUUAUUAACCUGCAUUCGAUGGUUAUGCAGUAAGACAGUAACAUGCUUCUGUGAGCAAACGUUGAUGUUUAGAUCAUGUACAACAGUGCAUGUAAAUAUCAUUUCUUUUAUUUAGAAUUCCACACACCCAAUUCAUAUGAGAAUAUCUUGAGAAGAUCAGUUCUGCCACUGCUGCUGUUGUAGAAUGAAUUGGAUGAGCUCUUCCUUUAGUUGCUGCUACUUUUAGCCCUUAUUUCCUUGAGAACAUCUUCAAAGUAUAGAUAAGAAAAUUACGUGGCUAUAGAAGGAUAUAUGUCAUUCAAUAAAACACCAAAGAAAAAUAACUUUGAAAUCUAUAUAUUUUAUUGACUGUGCACCUAUUCCAUCUACUAAAUAACUUCUGUGAGGUAAUCCUGAUCAGAAGUUUUAUACAACUUCUCUUCUUUGAAGCUUCUUUUCAUUCCCGUGCUCUCCUCUUUUAUAUGAAUUAUGUAGGUGGACCUGUUAGGCCGUAAUAUUACCAUGUGCUAAGAUUUUGUUCCUCUGUGUUGGAUUUGGUUACAAAAUCAAGGGAUAGAAAAUAUGAAUAUUCGUGUGCUGCCCACCAAUGGAACAUUUUGUUUUUUUACUGUGACUAUUCUGUAUUUUGUUUGCUUCGUCCAACAACGACGUUGACUGGACAAGAGGUAGGUUUUCCCUUUGUGUUUAGAUUCUUAUGUCUUUCCAGAUGCUCUAUUUUCAACCAAUUGAAUGAUUAUAUUAGCCCUGCAGUUGUAAUCAAUCCCCGGGAAACGAGCAACUAGAGCAAUCAAUAAUUCGUGACUACGUCUGCUUCAUGCUCUACAGGGAGUCAGAUGGCUGUCCUAAACAGAGGGUCGGUGUUGCACGAGCUGAAGCUGCGAACACCUUCAUAUCCUGAUCGUCUGAAAAUCUUUCUUAGUUGCUACAGUACUCUAUUUCAUGAGGUUCCAUAUUGAUUGAUAUUCAGCACCAAUCUGCAAAGAACCAAUAGGUGACACAUCCUGAGUCCUUCGCCGUGGCGUGGACAAGACGCCCUGCCGGAGCAGGGUGUGGAUGAGUUGGUGGCUCCGGUCACGCACACCGGCUGGUACUGCUCCGGCGAGCCACCGCUGCCGUUGCCUGUCUCAAUCUCGCUUGGCAUCAACUUUAGGCGAGGGCGCUGAACGCAGAGAAGGGAAGAAAAAACUAUGGGCGCUCUUACUAGAGCUGUAAUUAUGCACAUCCGAAAAGAAGCUAAGCUGCAGUGUGUCUGUACUGUGCUACAGACGAGAUUCGUUUGUAUUGGCUGUCAUGCAUUUCUCUUUACUUUUCACAUGAAGUAGCAACAUAAUAUGUUGAUGAAAGAGCUCACCAUUGUCA